rnacentral:rRNA from 1 species
AGUGAACGCUGGCGGUAGGCCUAACACAUGCAAGUCGAACGGCAGCACAGUAAGAGCUUGCUCUUACGGGUGGCGAGUGGCGGACGGGUGAGGAAUACAUCGGAAUCUACUUUUUCGUGGGGGAUAACGUAGGGAAACUUACGCUAAUACCGCAUACGACCUACGGGUGAAAGCAGGGGAUCUUCGGACCUUGCGCGAUUGAAUGAGCCGAUGUCGGAUUAGCUAGUUGGCGGGGUAAAGGCCCACCAAGGCGACGAUCCGUAGCUGGUCUGAGAGGAUGAUCAGCCACGCUGGAACUGAGACACGGUCCAGACUCCUACGGGAGGCAGCAGUGGGGAAUAGUGGACAAUGGGCGCAAGCCUGAUCCAGCCAUACCGCGUGGGUGAAGAAGGCCUUCGGGUUGUAAAGCCCUUUUGUUGGGAAAGAAAAGCAGCAGGUUAAUACCCCGCUGUUCUGACGGUACCCAAAGAAUAAGCACCGGCUAACUUCGUG